GGGCUUAGCCAUGAAACUUGAUUUGGCCAAAGGGACAUUAGCAAGUAUGAUGUAAGCAGAAUCCUCUUCUACGGUUAGAAAAGCUCAAGAAAUGAUUAGGAGCCUCACGGUUUCACGUGUUUUCCCACUGUGUACAUAGGAGGUAUUAACAUUCACCCAGGAGCCGCUGAAAUCCACUCAACUGGAACGGAAACUG